ACGUUGGCCUUUCAAAAUUUACCACCAGGCACGCGAAAUUCUUUAUUUGGAGCCACUCCGUCCGCCUGCCCCGCCGUCCAUCCGCGCGACUGUCUCCGAGCUAGGUGGCGUCGUCGCCCAGGCACGGUCAUCGUCACCUCGCAUCCCGCCCCCGCCGCCGUCCCCAUCCCCAAGCUCGUUCGGCACCGUCGCCACCGCCGUUCCCAACCUCCAUCGCCACCAUUCCCAUCCCCAAGCUCGUUCAGCGCUGUUGCUAUGCUCGCGCCCUAUCGCCGCCGUCCCUGAGCUCGUCUGCCACUGUCGUCGAGCUCGCAUUCCGUUCCGCCGUUGCCGCCAUGCCUGAGCUCGCGUCCGGUCGCCGCCGUAGUCACCCCCAAGCUCGCGUUCUGUUGCCGCCGUCGUCGCCCCAGAGCUCACGUUCCGCUGUCGCCGCCGUCGCCCCCGAGCUUUCCGCUGUUGCCGCCAUGCCCAAGCUCUCAUCCGAUCAUUGUCGCCGUCGCCCCUGAGUUCGUGUUCUGCUGUUGAACCGCCAUGUCCGCAAACUCCGUCCCCGUCUACCAUCUAGACGUCGACAAAACCAUGUGCUCUUUCGUCCCUGUCGAAGGUGCAAUGUCUCUCGCUGGCAACCGCGACGGGAGUGAGCUCAGGGAUGAUGGUCAAGCCUUGAGACGACGGCCGACGAGCUCGGAGACGAAGACAAAGACGGACGACGCGGACAAGCAGACGGAAUGGCACGAAAUGAAGAAUUUCGCGUGUCUGGUGGUAGAUCUUGAAAGGCCAACGUAUUGGGUGGCAAUUCUUUAAAGGUUAUCGUAUUGGAUGGUUAAUACUGAAAUUUCUCGGGAAUAUGGGGAUCGGAGAAGCCGCAACUCGCAGCCAAAGCCUUGCCGGCGACGGCGAUGCAGGAGAUGCAAGCGCCGCCGCCGCCGCCGAUUCUUCUUUUGGCGCCUCAGUAUGGUUUCCACUAUCAACCGACUCUUGAAGAAUUUUGGCAAAGUGCAUUAGUCUCGGUGCUGGUUGACUCUGAAGUCAGGAAAUUGUUUUUCGGAGCAAUCAGCGAAGAAAAUUUGGAGUAGUAUUUUUCUUAACUCUAAUGCCUAAUCAGUAAGAGAAUAUAAAUUGCGACAACAGAGUAUCAACUAUAACUAAAUAAGCCACUAAAUUGAACUAUUGCUUUUUUUUAAAAAAAAAUAAACAGUUGGGAUGUAUUAGUAAAUUUCAAAGUGUGCAGCCUUCUGAACUGAAAAUAUUAGAGAGCUGAUUUCAGGUAAAGAACCAAACCUGAUGUACUUUAUCAUUCAUUUAUAAAUUACAAUAAUGAAUUAAGCAGCGUAUCUGCUUAGAUAAGCUAAUUGUAUGUCCAACGGAUAAGAUGCAGCAAAGAAGGAUGAAUCCUUUUCUCCUUUCCAACAAAAGGGGCAUUUUCGUGAAGGCAAAGCAAACGCAGAUAUUCUAGAACGCAUGAUAGAAGUGGCCAAGAACUCGAAAUGUGCAAGAAUGUACGCAAUAGCUUAAUCUAAUAUAGCAUCUCAAAAGCCUCAAAUCAUUGCUGCAAAUGACAUCACCUUCUGCAUGUAAGCAUUGGAUUUCAAUUGAAUAUUUGUUGGCUCUCUGUUAACCUCAUGUGACAAGGUUAGCAUUAACCCUUUUCUUUUGCAAGAAUGAAGGUUAACAACAGCAUUACCUCCAUUAAACAUUCUAAUAUACAAUGCCGGCCAACAGAAACCAUCCCAUGCAUAUUUAACAAUUCAUAGUGUUUCUGUUCUUCAGUUGUGGUUGUUAACUUGUUAUUGUUGUUUCAGUGGCGUUCGCAAAAAAAAAUUGUUGUUUCAGUGAUGUCCAUGUAUUGGAACUGCAGCUGCAUAAAGAAGAGAGAAGACACUGUCGUUCUACAGGGAGCAUCACACAACGAUGGCAACUUGGCUAUAUCAGUAGCUGACUAAUAAACUACUCAGCUCUAAUGGCUUCAUCAGCCCACUGCUUUGGAUGAAACUAGCUGCAUGCGCACCAUGGCACUAACUUGGCUUGGAGAGAGAGAUAAACAUUUCAGUGCGUCUGAUUCAUGGCCGAAUCAGCUCAUCAGAGGUGCAGCGGAGGUCGUUGUGGAAUGUAUGAUGAUGUGCCACGCACGGCAGGAGGAUCGGAUUGCUGGGAAGAUACGCCCAUGUCCAUAUUCAUCUCCUUUUGCUUUUGUCAGGCGCCGCGUCUCGCCGGCUGGCCGCCGCGGCCAAAAAAAGGAGAGCAUAUGCUCAUCACUGGAUCAAACUAUGUCUAAUGACUCCACAAAGUGGCAGUGAGUCAGAGCUAGGCAGCUCCCUAGUUCUUGUUGUUCAAGUGAAGAUAAUCUUGGUUUUGAAUACCUGUUUGGAAGUCAGUUUUGAGGAUAAACUUGGAAGAUUGGAGUCUUUUACCAUCGACUCACACAAAUUUUAAAUUGCAUCAUCCAUUUGUACCCUUUUUCAAUUGGAAGAUGGUAACAAAAAGAUCAGGGGUCAAGUUUGUAUUAUCUAUUUGUACCUUUUUUUCCAAUUCAAGUUUUUACAAUGUAUUUGGGCUGUCUCCCUCUAUCAGAUCCUCAAGUGUGGAAAGUAUAUAUAUUAACAAGCAGUCCAUCUUAUAUAGAGUACUGGAUUAUGGAAUUUUUUUAAAGCAAUUAUCUCAUUUUCAGACAAUGAAUAUAUGAAUAUAUUUCUGGGGCCAAACUGGUCUUUUACCCAACA